rnacentral:rRNA from 1 species
UACGGGGGGGGCAAGCGUUGUUCGGAAUUACUGGGCGUAAAGGGCUCGUAGGCGGCCAACUAAGUCAGACGUGAAAUCCCUCGGCUUAACCGGGGAACUGCGUCUGAUACUGGAUGGCUUGAGUUCGGGAGAGGGAUGCGGAAUUCCAGGUGUAGCGGUGAAAUGCGUAGAUAUCUGGAGGAACACCGGUGGCGAAGGCGGCAUCCUGGACCGGUUCUGACGCUGAUGCGCGAAAGCGUGGGUAGCAAACAGG